ensembl:lncRNA
AAGACUGCAGCCAGAGAAAGGGAUGAGAAAUCAAUGCCUAAGUCUCUCCACUUGGGGGGGGGGGGUCAGCAGCAGAAUGAGGGUUGGGGUAGAGUAGCGGGACCUCACCAGCCCCCCCAGAACAUAUACACUCCUGUACACAGGCAGCCACAGGAGGUCAGCUGCUUACAGAAGAGGGAGGCCGGUCCAGGGUGGGAGCAGAGGGUACCCUCUAUGUCAGCACACUGGGGACCCUAAGACAGAGAAGAGGUUGGGGAGACUUCUCCAAGCCUAGGGGCUUUUCCGUCAGAUUUCCGAGAGUUGUUGGGCACCCCACCUAGCACACAGUGGGGGGCUGACUCCUUGCCCAGCAGCAGCCUGACAGCCGUGCCCAGUUAGGCGCGUAGGGGACUCAGCCAAGCCCAUGUUCCGGCCCCCGCCCCCAGCAGACACACAUCUGGCUAGCAGCUUCCAAGCCUCGUGGGUAGCACCCGGUCCCAGACAUGCUCAGCAGAGCAAGGUCGGCCAGUCUGCUCCUCCGCCUCCACUCACCCCAAAAGGCUUCCACAACCCCACGCAGCACAAGACCCGGGGACACCCCACCCAACGGCACCAGCUCGCACCCCGCACCCCAAUCUCCGCCCGCCUCCACGGGGGCACCAGCUGAGCGGGCCCCGCCCCCCAGCCUGUCCCUCCGGUGUUGGGGGAGCAGGCGGGUUCUCCCCCAAACCACGGAGCGGCUCAGCCCAGGUUGAAACUGAACUCAUGGAGAUCCUCCUGCCUCAGACCCCCAAGCACUGGGAUUACAGGCGUGGCCAGCGAUCGGGACAGGGGCUGUGCCCUCUGCCUACAGGCGCCCCCUGGUGAAGACAGGCGGGCUUUAGCAUCCCCACGGGGCUGGGCCCGCUCCUGCCCCUCUCCACUGCCCACCCCCAUCUCGCCGGACCCUGCUCCCGUGGCAACAAGCUGGUGAGACCCCUGGGCCGCUCUGCCCCCUGCCCACCACUCACCACCCCCUCUCCUACCUGCCCCACCUCCUCCUGCCACCCAGGUUGUACCGGGGCGCGAGUCUCCUUUAACGUGUCCUGGCAGCACCCCUGCCCCGGCCCCACGCCCCACGUACACACACAUGCGCUCACACACGCUUCUGCCAGCCGCACGCUGCCAGCAGCUGCCAGAGCUGUUGAGCAGGAGGGAGCCCGGGAGGGUGGGGUGCAGGGAUUGGGUUUCCAGCUCCGAGGGGGUGGGCCGUCACCCAAUCCCUUCUCCCUCCCGCGGCCUCCCUCCAGCCUCUGGCAGGCAGCCCACUACCCUUGGAGCCCGGCCCCCACCCCCAGUCCACCUAGUGUAGGAAGUAAGCGUUGGAGAGUAUUUGUCAUGCGGAGACCAGCCCAGGAGAGGAGAGAAGCAGCAAGGCGGAGACAGACAGACAGACAGACAAACAGACGGGAUUCCUGUGCUCUGUGCUCCAGCUGCAACCAACCACUAGUUCUCUCCCACAGCACCCACCCCUGCCUCCAGGCCUCAGAGAAGGGAUCCCUUUGGACCAGGAAUCAGAAGCCCAGAGCCUGAGCUGGCCGAGGUAAACCACACCUGUGAUCCCAGCACUGAGGAGGCUGAGGCAAGAGGAUCACCACAAGUUUGAGGCCAGUUUACCCUACAUAGUGAGUUGAAGCCCAGCCUGGCCUACAGAGCGAGACCCAAAACAAACUAACAAAUAAACCUGUCCUGUCUCCCUGCC